AUGAACGCUAGCGACAGGCCUAACACAUGCAAGUCGAGGGGCAGCACAAGGAGCAAUCUGAGGUGGCGACCGGCGCACGGGUGAGUAACACGUAUGCAACCUGCCUGUAAGCGGGGAAUAACCCGUUGAAAGACGGACUAAUACCGCAUAAUACUAAAUUACUGCAUGGUAAUUUAUUUAAACAUUUAUGGCUUACAGAUGGGCAUGCGCAUGAUUAGCUAGUUGGAGAGGUAACGGCUCCCCAAGGCAACGAUCAUUAGGGGUUCUGAGAGGAAGGUCCCCCACACUGGUACUGAGACACGGACCAGACUCCUACGGGAGGCAGCAGUGAGGAAUAUUGGUCAAUGGACGAGAGUCUGAACCAGCCAAGUCGCGUGCAGGAAGAAUGUCCCUAUGAAUUGUAAACUGCUUUUGCAGGGGAAUAAAGUGCAUCACGUGUGAUGUUUUGUAUGUACUCUGCGAAUAAGGAUCGGCUAACUCCGUGCCAGCCGCUGC
rnacentral:rRNA from 1 species